UAUGUGAUCGUCUCUCGCAUAUCAAUAAGCGGAGGAAAAGAAACUAACAAGGAUUCCCCUAGUAACGGCGAGUGAAGCGGGAAGAGCUCAAAUUUGAAAUCUUAAAGGGUUUCCCUUUACGAAUUGUAGUUUAAAGAAGUGUUUUCUGUUGAGGUUUUGGUAAAAGUUCUUUGGAAUAGGACAUCAUAGAGGGUGAGAAUCCCGUAUUUGACCAUUAUUUUCAGCUGUGUGAUACGCUUUCAAAGAGUCGGAUUGUUUGGGAAUGCAGUCCAAAAUGGGUGGUAAAUUUCAUCUAAAGCUAAAUAUUGGCGAGAGACCGAUAGCGAACAAGUACCGUGAGGGAAAGAUGAAAAGAACUUUGAAAAGAGAGUUAAACAGUACGUGAAAUUGUCAAAAGGGAAGCGUUUGACACCAGUGUUGUUUUUCUGAAAAUCAAUUAAGGAACUGUUUAUGCUAAGCUGUUUAGACUUUAUCAGCUAUCUGUUUAGUUUUGAGCUUUUCUUUAAUGCACUUUUCAGUUAACAAGUCAACAUCAAUUUCUUUUGCUGUAAAAAAGCUUGAGGAAGGUGGCUUGAGAUUCGUCUUAAGUGUUUAUAGCCUCUUGCCUAUGCAGUCGGAGAGAUUGAGGUCUGCAGCGUAGAUCCUUCGGGGCUAAAUGCAUUUGUGCUAAGUUAUAGCAUUUUAUAGACAACUUGUUGACUAUGAUUUGUCUUGUAGCUUACUCGCUUAUGUUAUUUUACCUACGCUUAGGAUGUUGAUCUACAGAGCGAGAGU
rnacentral:rRNA from 1 species